CAAGAAGUAGUUUAAUUAGAAUAUCAG
rnacentral:ncRNA from 3 species